rnacentral:misc_RNA from 1 species
AAGAGACGUUGCCCUUCGGGGUCGACCUCCCACCCUAUGUUUAUCAUACCUCUGUUGCUUUGGCAGGCCCGUCCUCGGACCGCCGGCUCCGGCCGGCCCGUGCCUGCCAGGGAACCUAAAACUCUGAAUGUUAGUGUCGUCUGAGUACUAUACAAUAGUUA